AUGUAUAAAUAUAUUAGCUUCUUCCUAAUACAGUGCCGUUCACGCUAUUUUUUACUGCAAAAUAAUAGAUUAGGCUUAUAACGUAGUACUUCUGGCCCAGCAUAACGUUGCGUUCGCACAACACGGUGGCGCCAGGCAAGUUGGUCAGCCCUUUAAUUUCAGAAUAACAAUCUGAAAUGUAAUUCUGGCUGCUGCUUAAAUACCCUGACAAAUAUUCCCGAUAGUUUGGUUUUUUUUUCUCUACUCUGAAGAUAACAUAAUGUUAGUUUUGUCAGUCGUAGGUUAUACAUUGGAUUGAAAGAAAAGAGGAUAAAGAAUGUAGUUAAAUUAUUGUCAGCUCGCAAGGAUAUGAAACGAUAUUGAAUUCCUUCUAUUGUUGGUUAGUUUCGUUUUGAUAGAUAUUUUCUGAUUUCGUUGAAAAAGACGCAUCGCAUCGUCAUGGUCAUAUACAAAUAUUGCGCUUUAUGCAGCGGCAACUCAGCAUAAAAGGUUAAUGAAAUAAUAAUAACAAUAAUAAUAAUAAUAAUAAUAAUAAUAUAAAUAGUAAUGAGUAAUUAAAAAUCUUAUACUAUUAACACACAUACAUAUUAUCGAUAAUUAUGUAAGAUAAAACAGCUAUACACUAUUUAUAACGUGUAUAAGCGUGAGAAAACAGAGAGAAAUGGAGCGUGAGCAUAGAAGGGGGACAAAUCCAGAGAAAGAGAGUGAGCUAGAUGUAGAAUAGACGUGCAUGGUGUGCAGGCUCUAGGCUGACAAUGAAGUAGAGAUGCGGCGUCUGAUGAUGAAGAAAAAAUGAAAAUAAAAAAAAUUUAGCAAAAGUAAAAAAUGACAUAAAAGAAAAAAAAUACGACAACAAAACGAACGUUAUAAUAUGUACAUCAAAAAUGAUAAAAGUACACAGUAUAAAUAUCAUGAGGCGAUAUGAAGAGUCGAAUUUGAAAUAUAAAAAACAGAAUGUACAGUAGCGCAGGCUGAUAGUAGUGAAGGCAUGCUGCGAACAGGGCGCAGUUUUAAUAUUGAUAUAUUCAUAGUAAUAGCAGUAUGUCAUAUUAUACAUAUUGAACAAACAAUUAUCUACACGUAAGAAGAGAGGCAGAAGGGUGGAAAUGACUAUUACCUUCCCCAAUCGUCAUACUUUACCUUAUUUUUUCUCUUUCUUUUCAUCUCUCAUCUCUUUUUUUCCCCUUAAUUCUUUCUCUUUAUUCUCUCUCUCUCUCUCUCUCUCUCUCACUCUCUCUCUCUCUCUCUGUUCUAUAAAAUUCUCUCAUUUCCAUUUUUUUGAAAACUGCAUCGCAACGCACGAAUACAUGAAAAAAUAAAAGAAAAAUAUAUGUAUAUAAUCAAACACACAAUAUCAGGAUGAAUUAUUAAAAACUAUAUCGUUAAUCCCGCGCUCUGAGGCAUUAACGAAGAAUGGAAAUUUCUUAAAGAUUUGUCAUCGCGCGCGGACGCGUAACAACGACGGUGAUGAUAAUAAUUCGUUUCUAUUCUUCCAGUCCUCCUCCUCCCUGUCUCCCGCAUCGUCCCCGAAAAAAUUGGCGAAGCAGAAUUCCAAAUUCGUUCGUUAUAUUCCGUGACACGCUUAAUAAUUUUUCUUUCGCUUUCUUAAAAGGUGCUCGUUUCGAUCCGAAUCUUCGGUGUUUAUAUUAUAGGGAGGUGAAAAAGUAUGGAGAAAGGGUUGGGAGGGUUAGGGGUAGGGGGAGGAGGUGUGGUAUGAGGUGGUAAACACGAGGAAGAGAACAGUUUUUUGAAAAGUUGAAAAAAACGUCACACUUAUAGCCAGCAGACUGCUGUUCAUAGUGCCCUGUUAUAGGGGGUUCCCCGGGCGGAAGGGCGAAGACGCGUCUCGUGCAGCGAUUCGUUUCUAAACGUAAUUUUCAUUCAUCGAUCAGGUGCCUGUUUUACGCGACACUUAAUUCGUAAGAUUGUAAUAUUUUCAAAUGCAGGCGGGAAAUCGGGACGACCUUCUCACUUCAUCGUUAAUAUAUUAUAACAACAUUGGAAUAUAGGUACAGAUAGGUGACGAUGUAUAAUAGGUACAUACCUAUCACAAGUUGAUUAACCAGGCACCUUCUAAAGAUUUGAAAACUGUUUUCGCCCUCCGUCCACCGGACCCUAAUCUAUUUUUCAGAAUACGCUAUUUGUGAUUAAUACAAUAUAUCUAUAUACAUAUAUUAAUAUACAUAUACGUAGACAUUAUAUGUAUAUAGAUAUGUAUGAAUAAUAUUUAAACAAAUAAUUAAUAAUAAUAAUAAAAAUGAAUAUAAAACCACAAAAAUACCUAGUACUGUAUUGUUUAUUAUGAACAUUAUUCUAUUGAUUAUUAUUUAUCACGUUAAUAAUAUUAAUAAUAAUAAUAAUGACAGUAAUAAUAAUAAUACUUAUAGUAACAUAAAUAAUAAUAAUUACCGCAUUGAAUACCAUCAUUAUAUAUAUAUAUAUAAAAUAUAUUAUAUAUAUAUAUAUAUUUAGUAUUAUUAGAGAGUGAGGCUGCUACAAUUACAAUAAUAAUGAAUUCCGUACGUUAUGUACAUUAGUAAUGAUUCAUUUGACAUCAUAUACAUAUUAUGUGUAUAUAUAUGUAUAUAUUACAUAUAUACAUAUUAUAUAUAUAUAUAUAUGCAUGAAAUAUACCGUCGUACAGCUGCGUUACCAUAAUGUCAAUUUAUUUUAUUCAGUACACCUAUAUAUAUUAUACUUAUAUAUAAUAUAAAUAUAAUAGGUAUAAUAAAACGUCGAACCGACUGCGUAUAACUUAUACAUGUAAUAGCGAAGCCUCUAACUCAAGAAUUUUACAUGUAUUUUUCUUUCACAAUUCGUUGCUAAUUAUCCUUGGAACGUUAUUUAUUGUAAAGUUAUCACAGUUACUUUUUCCAUGACAAUUGGUUCUUGUUUUUUUUUUUUUUUUCUUUUUUCUUCUAUCUUCAUAAAACAAAUUGUACUAAUACGUUGUUUUGUAUAUCAUAGUAGGCAUAUAGAUUGUACCAUGAAAUUAUUAAGUAAAAAUAAAUUUGAUUAGGUAAUACUUAACUAUUAUAUGUCGUCAACCUACGACGUCAAAUCCGUCUGAUCUGCAUACUGGAUCACCCUUCACGGAACGCACAGGGACUACAGGAGAAAGAUUUUCAUACACGAUAUAUGUAGAAGGUAUAUUUCAUCGCCCACGAAGAUGUGAGAGAAAAAAAACUGAAACACUGCCAAAUCUCACAAUCAGAUUCCACCCCAUGAUCCGUAUAUGGAGAAAAUACGACCUACACAGGAGCAUGAAUUCAUCCAGUUUGUUCAUUACCAGCAUAAAUCACCAUCGGGUAAUUCGCCCCCGUUCUCUCGACCCAGAGUUGCAGGAAGCUUACAAGAGGAAGAGUGCGCCAGGCGGUGGGUUGAAGUAUACACAUGUACACCUGCAUGAAAAGGCCUCGCUUGAACGUAACACGUUAUAUUUAAUCGUAUAACAGUGAUGAAUCGAUGCAGGCUGAGAAGCUUUGAGGCGCCGAGCUGUUUUUCUCUCCGCAUAAUUGAGAGAAAAGCUGCCGAGUACAAAAAGCAUUUCGUAUAAAGAAUACGAAGCGACGUAUCACAGCUGCUAACCGUGAAAUUCCGGACGCGUCAUUCUUUACUGCGGUGAAUUGCAAAUCGGUCCUGAAUCACCGUGCGACGAUGAAAAAGAAAGAAAGAAAAAAAGAAAAAUCAAACCACCGUCCAUUCCGCUUUCGGCUGUAAAAAUCGGCAAGGCCGUCAGGGACACGUCCAGGAACACGCAGUUUUUUUUUACGACGGAAAUUUACCGCCGUCGAAAAUCUGCCGCGUAGCAUCGAGGCCGUGAGAUGGCAAAGUCGAAAUUAGGGUGGAGAGCGUUCUGGAACCCGGAGUCGCAGGAAGUACACCGAAACUUGCGGAAAUUUUUCACCAACGGUUUUGCCUCCACUGCGCCGAUCUUGUAUUGCAGGUUCGAAAAUUGGACAAGGAUGCGGGAUCGUGAUACGAGGGGUUGAAGUUUUGCGACGGAAAUUAAACGCGACGAUAGCAACAUCGCCUGAGGAUACCUCGGA